rnacentral:rRNA from 1 species
UACGAACCGUACAAACGUUAUUCGGAAUCACUGGGCUUAAAGGGUGCGUAGGCGGCCAUGUAAGUGAGGUGUGAAAUCCCUCGGCUCAACCGAGGAACUGCGCUUCAUACUGCAUGGCUUGAGGGAGACAGGGGUAAGCGGAACUGAUGGUGGAGCGGUGAAAUGCGUUGAUAUCAAUCAGGAACACCGGUGGCGAAAGCGGCUUACUGGGUCUCUUCUGACGCUGAGGUACGAAAGCUAGGGUAGCGAACGGG